rnacentral:rRNA from 1 species
GCGUAGGAUAUCUGAGAGGAGCUGUCCUUAGUACGAGAGGACCGGGAUGGACUGACCUCUGGUGCACCGGUUGCAUUGCCAAAUGCAUAGCCGGGUAGCCAAGUCGGGACGGGAUAAACGCUGAAGGCAUCUAAGCGUGAAGCCCCCCUCAAGAUGAGAUAUCCCAUAACGUAAGUUAGUAAGACCCCUUGAAGACGACGAGGUAGAUAGGCAGAAGGUGGAAGUGUGGUGACAUAUGGAGCUGAUCUGUACUAAUAGGUCGAGGGCUUAACCAAG